UGAAAUCUCCUAUGUUCCUGCUGAGUGGACUGAGCUGGAAGAUGUGGAUGAGCCCUCAGGGCAAGAUCUGACCAUCAGCGUCGCCAACAGUAAGAUUCCCAAGAACUAUCGCCACUGGGAAAACUUAUGGCCAGGACGGAUGGAAUCAGUUUUGUAAAGUUGGUACUCCUGCCAGCACGGAGUAAGAGAAAGAGAGGGGGCCUCACCACACCUGUCCGGUACUGCCUCGGCUGUUCACUGCUCACCAAUCACGAGCAGAUUGUUACACAAUAUUGAGCAGAGUUCUCUGUGCUAUACGUGUGGUUGACAGGGUCUUGUUGCUCUGGCCGGGUGUGAGACCUGUGCCUCUGAGGUGGGAGAGCUGAGUUCAGGACA